AAUUCCGGUGAAGAUGCCGGAUACCUGCGACAGGACGGAAAGACCCCAUGGAGCUUUACUGUAGCUUGACAUUGGGUCUUGGUACUACAUGUACAGGAUAGGUGGGAGGCUUUGAAACCAGGACGCCAGUUUUGGCGGAGCCAUCCUUGGGAUACCACCCUUGUAGUACUGGGACUCUAACCAUAGGCCAUGAAGCUGGUCUUGGGACACUGUCAGGUGGGCAGUUUGACUGGGGCGGUCGCCUCCCAAAAGGUAACGGAGGCGCUCAAAGGUUCUCUCAGUACGGUCGGAAAUCGUACGUAGAGUGUAAAGGCAAAAGAGAGCUUGAUUGCAAGACAUACAGGUCGAGCAA
rnacentral:rRNA from 1 species